CUACGCACUCUACGGGAGGCAGCAGUGGGGAAUAUUGCACAAUGGGCGCAAGCCUGAUGCAGCCAUGCCGCGUGUAUGAAGAAGGCCUUCGGGUUGUAAAGUACUUUCAGCAGUGAGGAAGGUGGGUAUGUUAAUAGCAUAUUCAUUUGACGUUAGCUGCAGAAGAAGCACCGGCUAACUCCGUGCCAGCAGCCGCGGUAAUACGGAGGGUGCGAGCGUUAAUCGGAAUUACUGGGCGUAAAGCGCAUGCAGGUGGUUUGUUAAGUCAGAUGUGAAAGCCCGGGGCUCAACCUCGGAAUUGCAUUUGAAACUGGCAAACUAGAGUACUGUAGAGGGGGUAGAAUUUCAGGUGUAGCGGUGAAAUGCGUAGAGAUCUGAAGGAAUACCGGUGGCGAAGGCGGCCCCCUGGACAGAUACUGACACUCAGAUGCGAAAGCGUGGGGAGCAAACAGGAUUAGAUACCCUGGUAG
rnacentral:rRNA from 1 species